AAUGAACGCUGGCGGCGCGCCUAAUACAUGCAAGUCGAGCGAGAAGACGUAGCAAUACGUUUGUAAAGCGGCGAACGGGUGAGGAAUACAUGGGUAACCUACCCUCGAGUGGGGAAUAACUAGCCGAAAGGUUAGCUAAUACCGCGUACGCUCCUUGGACUUCGGUUCAGGGAGGAAAGCGAUACCGUGGGUAUCGCGCUCUUGGAUGGGCUCAUGUCCUAUCAGCUUGUUGGCGAGGUAACGGCUCACCAAGGCUUCGACGGGUAGCUGGUCUGAGAGGACAAUCAGCCACACUGGCACUGCGACACGGGCCAGACUCCUACGGGAGGCAGCAGUAAGGAAUAUUGCGCAAUGGGCGAAAGCCUGACGCAGCGACGCCGCGUGGGGGAUGAAGGUCUUCGGAUUGUAAACCCCUUUCGGGAGGGAAGAUGGAAUGGGGUAACCCAUUCGGACGGUACCUCCAGAAGCAGCCACGGCUAACUUCGUGCCAGCAGCCGCCGCCGUAA
rnacentral:rRNA from 1 species